AAUAUCAUCAACAGGAAGAAGAAGAAGAAAGAGGAGGAGGCAAUGAUUUGAACAGAAACACCCUUGAAAGAAAGCAGUAAUGGGUUCGUGAGAGCAGAUCAAAUUGAUCUGAAAAGCUUAGAUGAGCAACUGGAGAGGCAUCUGAACAGAGCAUUGAAUAUGGAAAAAUCCAAGAAACAGAGAAAUUCUGAUGAUAAUAUUUUGGUCACUACCGCCGCCGCCGCCGCCGCUUCUGCUAAUGCCACUGCUACUGCAAUCGGCAAUGCUUCUAAUUUUCUCAAGAGGCAAUGGCAAGAGUGCACAGGAACUUCUUAAUUCCGUGAACAAAUGCAGAAAUUAUGACUAUGAAAGAAAACUAUGCAAACCCAAACACUUACAGCGACUUCUUAAUUCUUAGAUUCAAUGCCAUGAACAAAUUAUGACCAUGAAAGAAAACUAAAAUGCUUAGCAAUUCGAACGAGACAGAGGAUUAAACUUACCUUGCACAGGUGACGACGACCAAACCAAGAUAGAGGCAGCAACAGCAGAGACUCAGUAAUUCGAACAAGAUAGAAAAUCAAGACACAAAAUCAAUUCAAGAAUGGCUGCAAUCUGCAGACGUAUGAGAGGUUUCUUUAGGAAUUCGUUAAUUAGGGAUUAAUGAAAAAUAUGAACGGAAGUUUUCCCUUUUUAUUUUUUUAUUUCUUUAAAAGGUAAAUCCUCUUUUUUUUUCCUUUAAACUUACACCGGUAAAAUUUUAUUUUAAAAAAGUACUUAACCGGCUUAUAACCGGUUAGAUUUAAUUUAAUUAAAAAUUUUAUUAUUUCAUGAUUAUUGUGAAUCGUUGAUUUAAUCUAACGGUCCAUAAUAAUUACGACAUCGAUGCCGUAAUUUUAAUUACGGCAUCAUAGAAUUUUCCACAUCAUUAAUCUAAAGUUCUCCUAGUUCGAGGAUCCAAAAACGAACACUAUGAAUUCAGUGUAAAUUGGGUUUGGGAUCUUGAAUGACUGUGAAAGUUGGAAUGCAUUUUUUUUAAUUUUUGUGCAUUUUUUUUGGAGAGAGAAAUUGUUGUUUAAAUAAAUAUUAUCUUCAGAAUUAAAGUGAGUGCUGAUAGCAGCAAGUGAUUUUAUAGUAUAAUUUAAUAGUGUUUACUUAAAAAAGAGUAACAAUAGGAUUUUAGAGAUGUGACAAUAGUAUUCCCAGUAAUGCUACACAUCCCAAAUUUCUUAUUCCAAAAAGUUAUCCCAAAUGAUGUGUCAUUAAUUGAGUGGUUGAUAAUUAUUUACAAUAUCCAAGUGAAUUAAUUGUAUUAUCUUACCAACCAAUUGAUAAAUGCCACAUCAUUUGGGAUAACUUUUUGAGAUAAAAAAUUUGGGAUGUGUAGUAUUAUUGUAGUAUUCCAACUCUUAAGCAAAUUGCAAAUGGUGACAAAAUCACCCAAAACGUCGCUUUGGGUGCGUGUGAGUUUUUUCAACCGUUUAGCAAACUUAUCAUUUAUGUAAUAAUAUAAAACUACAUCUUUCAAGCAUUGCAUUGAAACAUAAUCACAGAAUGCGCUUAUGGUCUUACAAAAACAUGUGCUACGUACUAGCAAGAUGUUAUUAUUGUUGCUAUAUAUUGCAGUUCCAUGCAUGCUUGUUGAACAAUUUAUGGAUGACCGCGGCUACGUGGCCCACUCGGAGGUGGUGGUGGAGGCCAUGGAUGAUCAGAUAUAGAACCUGGCGGCGGCGGCGGUGGUGGACGAGCAAAGGAUGGUUGCAAAAGAAGAAGCAUUAUUAUGCAGCAUAACUCCAAAAGACACCAAAGCAGAUUGUUCAGCUUCAUCUCAUUUCUCAUUUUAAUUGCCCUCUUACCACAUAAGAGUUUUCUAAAGAUGUAUACAAAAUUAUUAGAUGAAUGAGAAGAUAUAAGUUAUUAUAUAGGCCCCUUUCCUUCAACCAUUUUCCAGUCAAUAAAUUAUAAAAAACAAACGCAA
rnacentral:lncRNA from 1 species